AAAAUGCGAUACUUGGUGUGAAUUGCAGAAUCCCGUGAACCAUCGAGUUUUUGAACACAAGUUGCGCCCGAAGCCUUUUGGCCGAGGGCACGUCUGCCUGGGCGUCACGCAUCGCGUCGCCUCCCACAACUCUCCGUAAAAGGAACUCGUGUUUUGGGGGCGGAUAUUGGUCUCCCGUGCUCAUGGCGUGGUUGGCCGAAAUAGGAGUCCCUUCGAUGGACGCACGAACUAGUGGUGGUCGUAAAAACCCUCGUCCUAAGAAAACCCCAACGUGUCGUCUUUUUACGGCGCUUCGACCGCGACCCCAGGUCAGGCGGGACUACCCGCUGAGUUUAA
rnacentral:misc_RNA from 1 species